AUGAACGCUGGCGGCGUGCCUAAUCCCUGCCAGUCGAGCGAACGGACGAGAAGCUUGCUUCUCUGAUGUUAGCGGCGGACGGGUGAGUAACACGUGGAUAACCUACCUAUAAGACUGGGAUAACUUCGGGAAACCGGAGCUAAUACCGGAUAAUAUUUUGAACCGCAUGGUUCAAAAGUGAAAGACGGUCUUGCUGUCACUUAUAGAUGGAUCCGCGCUGCAUUAGCUAGUUGGUAAGGUAACGGCUUACCAAGGCAACGAUGCAUAGCCGACCUGAGAGGGUGAUCGGCCACACUGGAACUGAGACACGGUCCAGACUCCUACGGGAGGCAGCAGUAGGGAAUCUUCCGCAAUGGGCGAAAGCCUGACGGAGCAACGCCGCGUGAGUGAUGAAGGUCUUCGGAUCGUAAAACUCUGUUAUUAGGGAAGAACAUAUGUGUAAGUAACUGUGCACAUCUUGACGGUACCUAAUCAGAAAGCCACGGCUAACUACGUG
rnacentral:rRNA from 1 species